rnacentral:rRNA from 1 species
GAUCAUGGCUCAGGACGAACGCUGGCGGCGUGCCUAACACAUGCAAGUCGAACGAAGCUCCCUGACGUAAGACUUCGGUCAAGCUGAUGGGAUGACUUAGUGGCGGACGGGUGAGUAACGCGUGAGGAACCUGCCUUUCAGUGGGGGACAACAGUUGGAAACGACUGCUAAUACCGCAUAAUGUACUUUGGGGGCAUCCCCGAGGUACCAAAGAUUUAUUGCUGAAAGAUGGCCUCGCGU